GUCCUGCCUGCCCUGUGAUAUAUAUUUAACGGCCGCGGUAUUUUGACCGUGCAAAGGUAGCGCAAUCACUUGUCCUUUAAAUGAAGACCUGUAUGAAUGGCAUGACGAGGGCUUAACUGUCUCCUUUUUCCAAUCAAUGAAAUUGAUCUUCCCGUGCAGAAGCGGGAAUACAACCAUAAGACGAGAAGACCCUAUGGAGCUUUAAACAAAAAUAGAUCUUGUUAAACAUAUCUUAAUUAAAGAAGUGAACCGAAAGAAUCCUAUCAUUNAUGUUUUUGGUUGGGGCGACCGCGGGGAAACAAACAACCCCCAUGUGGACUAAGAAAACAUUUCUCACAAUAAAGAGCCACAGCUCUAAUUAACAGAAUUUCUGACCUANUAGAUCCGGCAAUGCCGAUCAACGGACCGAGUUACCCUAGGGAUAACAGCGCAAUCCUCUUUAAGAGUUCAUAUCGACAAGAGGGUUUACGACCUCGAUGUUGGAUCAGGACACCCUAAUGGUGCAGCAGCUAUUAAGGG
rnacentral:rRNA from 1 species